rnacentral:tRNA from 1 species
GCGGGCGUAGCACAGCUGGAAGAUGCGCCGAAUUCCAAACUCGGAGGACGUCGGUUCGAAUCCGACCCCCGCC